AAUGAACGCUGGCGGCGUGCCUAACACAUGCAAGUCGAACGAGAAAUUCCGGGCUUGCCCGGGAAAGUAAAGUGGCGCACGGGUGAGUAACACGUGGGUAACCUGCCCUUGAAUUUGGGAUAACUUCGCGAAAGCGAUGCUAAUACUGAAUAUUAUAACAAUAACCCCGGUUUAUGUUAUGAAAGGUGACCUCUUCAUGAAAGUUGCCGUUCAAGGAUGGGCUCGCGUACCAUUAGCUAGUUGGUAGGGUAAUAGCCUACCAAGGCUACGAUGGUUAGCUGGUCUGAGAGGAUGACCAGCCACACUGGAACUGAAACACGGUCCAGACUCCUACGGGAGGCUG
rnacentral:rRNA from 1 species